rnacentral:rRNA from 1 species
UACGUAGGAGGCAAGCGUUGUCCGGAAUUACUGGGUGUAAAGCGCGUGUAGGCGGCAGGCCAAGUCUGUGGUGAAAUCGCUCGGCUCAACUGGGCGGGGUCCAUGGAAACUGGUCAGCUGGAGGACGGUAGAGGUGAGUGGAAUUCCCGGUGUAGUGGUGAAAUGCGUAGAGAUCGGGAGGAACACCCGUGGCGAAGGCGGCUCACUGGCUCGUAUCUGACGCUCAGGCGCGACAGCGUGGGGAUCAAACAGG